GUGCUUCAGCAGCACAUAAGCUAAAACUGGAACGACACAGAGAAGAUUAGCAUGGCCUCUGCAUGUGGAUAACAUGCAAUUUUGUGAAGUGUUUCGUAUUUUU
ensembl:snRNA U6 U6 spliceosomal RNA